rnacentral:lncRNA from 1 species
AUGCUCCUCCUGCAUUCCCACCCCCUGCCUCUAAUCUGUCAACUCAUUUACUUUAUGAUGGGAAUCAAGGCUCCAAGACAGCAGGCAAAGAUGAAGUCCACUGCUGAGCCAGGCUUUGCCAACGCGGAAGGGAACCUUGCUGCCAGCAGUCACUCUGACACUUGUAACCUGCUGGCUGUGAAUCCUGGCUUGUCCUCCGGGGUCACACAGCCUGGGAGACCAACCAGAGAGGCUCAGAGAUAUCAAAUCAGGAAUCACAUUAUUUUUCGUGGGAAAACCCAGUGAAGGGGAAAACCACAGGGCCUCCAAACCGUCAUCUGAUUUUUUUUCAAAGAUUUAUUUAUUUAUUUGAAAGUCAGAGUUACAGAGAGAGGAGAGGAAGAGAGAGAGAGAGAAAGAGGUCUUCCAUUUCGUUGGCUCGCUCCCCAAUUGGCCGCAACAGCCAGAGCUGAGCCGAUCUGAAACCAGGAGCCAGGAGCUUCUUCUGGGUCUCCCAUGUGAGUGCAGGGGCCCAAGGACUUGAGCCAUCCUCCACUGCUUUCCCAGGCCAUAGCAGAGAGCUGGAUUGGAAGUGGAGCAGCCGGGACUCGAACCAGCAGCCAUAUGGGAUGCCGACACUUCAGGUCAAGGCCGCUGCAGCACAACGCCAGCCCGUCAUCAUCUGAUUCUUAAUGCUGUGGUCCAUGGGUCUGCUGUACCAACAGCAUCCCAGGCAGGGGGCCGUCUGACCCACAGAAAUGGAUUUCUCACAGUUCUGGGGGCUGGAAGUCCAAGACCAAAAAGCCAGCAGACUCGGCAUCUGGUGGGGCCUCCCCCACUCCUGGCACAUAAGAGUGAUCUUUCUGUGUGCCCUCACAUGGUGGGAGCAGAGAGGGAAGCUCUCUGGUUUCUUUUUUUUUUUAAGGAGAUGAAUCUAAGUCCAGGAGGAGUCACUUAGAAUUUCAAAAGCACGUCUGAUCUCAUCCUAUCUUGAUGCGUCUUAAGCUAUUUUUAAAAACUUAUUUGAGAAGCAGCGAGAGAAAAGGAGAAAGAACUGCCAGCCCUUGGUUCAUUCACCAGAUGCCCACAAAGGACAGAGCU